UACGGAGGGUGCGAGCGUUGUCCGGAAUCACUGGACGUAAAGGGCGCGUAGGCGGCCUGAUAAGUAGGGGGUGAAAUCCUGCGGCUUAACCGCAGGGCUGCCUUCUAAACUGUCAGGCUCGAGCACAGUAGAGGCAGGUGGAAUUCCCGGUGUAGCGGUGGAAUGCGUAGAGAUCGGGAAGAACAUCAGUGGCGAAGGCGGCCUGCUGGGCUGCACCUGACGCUGAGCCGCGAAAGCCAGGGGAGCGAACGGG
rnacentral:rRNA from 1 species